rnacentral:tRNA from 1 species
GCAGUAGUACUUCAGUGGUAGAAUUCUCGCCUCCCGUGCAGGAGACCCAGGCUUAAUUCCUGGCCAAUGUA